UUUGGUGGCUCAAGCGGGGGUGAUACACCCGAUCCCAUUCCGAACUCGGAAGUUAAGACCCCAAGCGUUAAUGAUAGCUUUAUAGCGAAAGUAGACCGCUGCCAAUU
rnacentral:rRNA from 3 species